rnacentral:rRNA from 1 species
CGGAAGUUUUCGAGUCCUGGGCUCAGGGAAUCGAACGGCUAGGGCGGCCGUUAGCCUAAAUACAUGCAAGUCGAGCGAACAGAUAAGGAGCUUGCUCCUUUGAAGUUAGCGGCGGACGGGUGAGUAACACGUGGGUAACCUACCUAUAAGGACUGGGAUAACUUCGGGAAACCGGAGCUAAUACCGGAUAACAUUUAGAACCGCAUGGGUUCUAAAGUGAAAGAUGGUUUUGCUAUCACUUAUAGAUGGACCCGCGCCGUAUUAGCUAGUUGGUAAGGUAACGGCUUACCAAGGCGACGAUACGUAGCUGACCUGAGAGGGUGAUCGGCCACACUGGAACUGAGACACGGUCCAGACUCCUACGGGAGGCAGCAGUAGGGCAUCUUCCGCAAUGGGCGAAAGCCUGACGGAGCAACGCCGCGUGAGUGAUGAAGGGUUUCGGCUCGUAAAACUCUGUUAUUAGGGAAGAACAAAUGUGUAAGUAACUGUGCACAUCUUGACGGUACCUAAUCAGAAAGCCACGGCUAACUACGUG